rnacentral:rRNA from 1 species
UUCCAGACUCCUACGGGAGGCAGCAGUGGGGGAUAUUGCACAAUGGGGGGAACCCUGAUGCAGCGACGCCGCGUGGGUGAAGAAGUAUUUCGGUAUGUAAAGCCCUCUCGGCAGGGAAGAAAUUGGACGGUACCUGACUAAGAAGCCCCGGCUAACUACGUGCCAGCAGCCGCGGUAAUACGUAGGGAGCAAGCGUUAUCCGGAUUUAUUGGGUGUAAAGGGUGCGUAGACGGGAAUGCAAGUUAGUUGUGAAAUCCCUCGGCUUAACUGAGGAACUGCAACUAAAACUACAUUUCUUGAGUGCUGGAGAGGAAAGUGGAAUUCCUAGUGUAGCGGUGAAAUGCGUAGAUAUUAGGAGGAACACCAGUGGCGAAGGCGACUUUCUGGACAGUAACUGACGUUGAGGCACGAAAGUGUGGGGAGCAAACAGGAUUAGAUACCCUCGUAA